rnacentral:rRNA from 1 species
AGCUCUGUAAGCGUAUACCAAAGUUGUUGCAGUUAAAACGCUCGUAGUCGAAUUUUGGGGCAGCCCGUGCUGUGCGCGUAGUGCGUGCGGCGCUGGGAUGUUCUUUUGUGGAGGGCGGCGCGUCGUGGCUUCACUGUCGCGGCGUGUCGGCGCCACCGUUUACUGUGAAAAAAUUAGAGUGUUCAAAGCAGGCGUUUGCCGUGAAUACAUUAGCAUGGAAUAAUAGAAUAGGACUUGGUUUCUAUUUUGUUGGUUUGUGAGAGCCGAGUAAUGAUUAAGAGGGACGGUUGGGGGCAUUUGUAUUCCAGCGUCAGAGGUGAAAUUCUUGGAUUGCUGGAAGACAAACAGCUGCGAAAGCGUCUGCCAAGGACGUUUUCA